CAAAUAUUAGAGGGCUUAGCUUUAAGGUGAGAGAGGUAAAAUUUAAAGGCGAUGUGUAGGGUGUUUUUUUACAAAGAGGGUGGUGAGUGCCUGGAAUGCGCUGUCAGGGCUUGUGGUUGAGGCAGAUAUGAUAGUGGUGUUUCAGAGGCUUUUAGACAGGCACA